AUUGAACGCUGGCGGCAGGCCUAACACAUGCAAGUCGAACGAGUGGCGGACGGGUGAGUAAUGUCUGGGAAACUGCCUGAUGGAGGGGGAUAACUACUGGAAACGGUAGCUAAUACCGCAUACCAUCAGAUGUGCCCAGAUGGGAUUAGCUUGUUGGUGGGGUAACGGCUCACCAAGGCGACGAUCCCUAGCUGGUCUGAGAGGAUGACCAGCCAACCUGGAACUGAGGGACGGACCAGACUCCUAGGGGCGGCAGCGGGGGGGAAUUGUGCACUAUGGCAGCAAGCCGGAUGGAGCCAUGCCGCGAGUAUGAAGAAGGCCUUCGGGUUUUAAAGUACUUUCAGCGGGGAGGCGUUACCCGCAGAAGAAGCACCGGCUAACUACGUGCCAGCAGCCGCGGUAAUAC
rnacentral:rRNA from 1 species